GCCGUGGGGCGGGGCUCCAGGAGGAAAGAGGGCGAAGGGGCUUGGGGUCGACGCCUCGUUUGUGCGUCGUGCGACCUGUGCUACCUCCCGGAAGGCUUUUUUCCCGUCAGGUUGUGCAUUCACCUCCCUCUUUCCCAGGGUCGGGAGCAUGUGGUCUGCUCUGAGCCACGGGUGUAACUCAGAGGACUUGAGACCUCGAGUUCUUUAGUCUCCAGCUGAGGAAGACGCAUUUCAGUUGAGACUAGUCACAUUUCCAGUGCUGAGAAGCAGGCCUUGGCCAGUGUGGCUGCAGGUGCCUGAGGAGUGCAGAGUGGCAUAAGACGCAGCGGAAGAGACAGGAUCCAGUCCAGGGCACUACAUUGCAUUAGUUGUUACAUCUCCAUAGUUUCCACUGGUUCAUGAUAGUUUCCCAGUCUUGUUUUUCAUGACCUUGAUGGUUUUGAGCAGUACUGAAUCAGGUGGAGGAGGAACACCCUGACAUUCAUCUCCCGGGGAAUGGUCUCUCUACCCUGCAUCCACAUGGUGAAGCACUAUAGAAGAUUCUCCCCAUGGGUCAGCCUCUCUCCAGUGCCAGACUCCUCAAAGAAACGAUACCACCCAAAUCAUCUUGCAAACCACAUGGAAAAUUGGUCAUGAUCCUCAUGGUUCCUGACAUCGAUCCCCAGAUCUGGCUCUGCCCUGACAGCGUGGAGCCUGCUUGGAAUUCUCUCUCCCUCACCCUCUGCCCCUCUCCUGCUAAUGAUCUCUCUCUCUCUCUCUCUCUCUCCC